rnacentral:rRNA from 1 species
UGAGUAACGCGUGAGUAACCUGCCUUACACAAGGGGAUAGCCGUUGGAAACGACGAAUAAUACCCUAUGACAUAAACUCUUCGCAUGAGGAGCUUAUCAAAGAUUUAUCGGUGUAAGAUGGACUCGCGUCUGAUUAGCUAGUUGGUGAGGUAACGGCCCACCAAGGCGACGAUCAGUAGCCGGCUUGAGAGAGUGUACGGCCACAUUGGGACUGAGACACGGCCCAGACUCCUACGGGAGGCAGCAGGC